rnacentral:tRNA from 1 species
GCCUGGGUGGCUCAGUCGGUUAAGCAUCUGACUCCAGCUCAGGUCACGAUCCCACAGUUCGUGAGUUUGAGCCUCAUGUCAGGCU